GACGAACGCUGGCGGCAGGCUUAACACAUGCAAGUCGAGCGCCGUAGCAAUACGGAGCGGCAGACGGGUGAGUAACGCGUGGGAACGUGCCUUUUCGUUCGGAACAACUCAGGGAAACUUGAGCUAAAACCGGAUACGCCCCGAGGGGGAAAGGUUUAUCACCAAAAGAUCGGCCCGCGUCGGAUUGGGUAGUUGGAGGGGUAACGGCCCACCAAGCCGAUGAUCUGUAGCUGGUCGGAGAGGACGAUCAGCCACACUGGGACUGAGACACGGCCCAGACUCCUACGGGAGGCAGCAGGGGGGAAUAUUGGACAAUGGGCGCAAGCCUGAUCCAGCCAUGCCGCGUGGAUGAAGAAGGCCCUAGGGUUGUAAAGUCCUUUCGGCGGGGACGAUAAUGACGGUACCCGCAGAAGAAGCCCCGGCUAAUUUCGUGCCAGCAGCCGCCGUAA
rnacentral:rRNA from 1 species